UACAGAGGUCUCAAGCGUUGUUCGGAUUCAUUGGGCGUAAAGGGUGCGUAGGCGGCGCGGUAAGUCGGGUGUGAAAACCCGUGGCUCAACCAUGUGGUCUGCAGUCGAUACGGGCAGGCUAGAAUUCGGUAGGGGAGACUGGAAUUCCUGGUGUAGCGGUGAAAUGCGUAGAUAUCGUAAGGAAGACCAGUGGCGAAGGCGGGUCUCUGGACAGUUCCUGACGCUGAGGCACGAAGGCCAGGGGAGCAAACGGG
rnacentral:rRNA from 1 species